rnacentral:lncRNA from 1 species
GACAACGGCAACCGGAAACCGGUGCCAUCUUGGAGUUGGCUUCCCACACAGGGGACCCUCUGACUGAACCAUACAAAGCAAGAGAAAUUUAUUGUUCCAGCGCUCUGGGGUCGCCCUGCACCCAAAGGAGAGGCAGCGACUCCAGGCAGGCCUAUGUCACCUGCCUUGAAGAUUCUCUUCGGCCGGGGCUGGAGGACCUGAGUUUAAGUUCCCUGAAUUCAACUGAGAACACGGGAAAAGAAGGAGUUGGUUCGUGUGAUUCUGAAGGAAUCUGUUCCAAGAUCUGCAGGGCAAGUUGGCUGAAAAGACGCCGGAGAGCCAAUGGUACCUUCCUGCUCUGAAGAAAGGCAUGCUCAAGGAGACACAGCCAAUGCUUUCGUCUGAAUCCAAAGUCCACAGUUGCCGGAGGAACUGAGUCAUACAGUCACAGGAAUCUCUUCAUGAUGGAGGGGAAUGAAUUCCGGGAGAUAAAAGCAG